rnacentral:rRNA from 1 species
CACGUAGGGCGCGAGCGUUGUCCGGAAUUAUUGGGCGUAAAGAGCUCGUAGGCGGCCUGUUGCGUCCGCUGUGAAAGCCCGGGGCUUAACCCCCGGGUCGGCAGUGGAUACGGGCAGGCUAGAGGUAGGUAGGGGAGAAUGGAAUUCCCGGUGUAGCGGUGAAAUGCGCAGAUAUCGGGAGGAACACCGGUGGCGAAGGCGGGUCUCUGGGCCGAUACUGACGCUGAGGCGCGAAAGCGUGGGGAGCAAACGGG